AAUAUUGGUCAAUGUAGGCAACUCUGAACCAGCCAUGCCGCGUGCAGGAUGACGGUCCUAUGGAUUGUAAACUGCUUUUGUACAGGAAGAAAAAGAGUUAGGUGUAGUUCCUUGCCGCUACGGUAAUAAUAAGGAUCGGUCACCUCUGUCCAUGCAGCCGCGGUAAUACGGAGGAUCCAAGCGUUAUCCGGAAUCAUUGGUUUUAAAGGGUUCGUAGGCGGCCUUAUAAGUCAGCGGUGAAAGUUUUUGGCUUAACCAAAAAAUUGCCGUUGAUACUGUAGGGCUUGAAUUUUUGUGAAGUAACUAGAAUAUGUAGUGUAGCGGUGAAAUGCUUAGAUAUUACAUGGAAUACCGAUUGCGAAGGCAGGUUACUAACAAGCGAUUGACGCUGAUGGACGAAAGCGUGGGUAGCGAACAG
rnacentral:rRNA from 1 species